GUCGAACGAACUCUGGUAUUGAUUGGUGCUUGCAUCAUGAUUUACAUUUGAGUGAGUGGCGAACUGGUGAGUAACACGUGGGAAACCUGCCCAGAAGCGGGGGAUAACACCUGGAAACAGAUGCUAAUACCGCAUAACAACUUGGACCGCAUGGUCCGAGUUUGAAAGAUGGCUUCGGCUAUCACUUUUGGAUGGUCCCGCGGCGUAUUAGCUAGAUGGUGGGGUAACGGCUCACCAUGGCAAUGAUACGUAGCCGACCUGAGAGGGUAAUCGGCCACAUUGGGACUGAGACACGGCCCAAACUCCUACGGGAGGCAGCAGUAGGGAAUCUUCCACAAUGGACGAAAGUCUGAUGGAGCAACGCCGCGUGAGUGAAGAAGGGUUUCGGCUCGUAAAACUCUGUUGUUAAAGAAGAACAUAUCUGAGAGUAACUGUUCAGGUAUUGACGGUAUUUAACCAGAAAGCCACGGCUAACUACGUGCCAGCAGCCGCGGUAAUACGUAGGUGGCAAGCGUUGUCCGGAUUUAUUGGGCGUAAAGCGAGCGCAGGCGGUUUUUUAAGUCUGAUGUGAAAGCCUUCGGCUCAACCGAAGAAGUGCAUCGGAAACUGGGAAACUUGAGUGCA
rnacentral:rRNA from 2 species